rnacentral:snoRNA from 1 species
GCCCUACUCGCACCUCUGUAUUCUUGAUUCCUAAAAAGACAGAAACCCAUGUCUGGUUGAUGAGUCAUGACCAUGGAACCAGAGUGUGAUUAACAGAGACGCAUGGUCUUGACCAUGGCUCAGUAGAGGAUCGUUGCCAAGCCCAUUUGGGUUGUGGCAUGGUUCCAUGGUUGUUUGACAGACA